UGCCAGCAGUCGCGGUUACACCGAGAAAUUAAGUCAUAUUUAAAUGGUAAAAAGACAGUUAGACAUAGUUAUUUAGGUUGUUCAACUUUCUAUAGAGAGGUAAAAUUUAUAUAUAGUUAUGAAACUUAAUUUACAACUAUAAAGUUGAAUCUGUGAUAUCCUAGAGGGAAACUGGGAUUAGAUACCCCACUAUUCUUGGAUGUAAAUUAAAUUUAAUUUACCUGAGUACUAUGAAUAUAUAAAAUUUAAAACUCAAAGGACUUGGCGGUAUUUUAGACCAUUUAGGGGAACCUGUCUCAUAAUCGAUAGUCCACGCUAUACCUGACCUUUUUUUGCUUUCAGCUUGUAUAUCGUUGUCGUCAGGUAACUUUUUAGAAACCAGAAGUUAGCUAAAAAUAGAGUAAGUUCAAACGUCAAACCAAGGUGCAGUUAAUAAAAAGGUGAGGAUGGGUUACAAUUAUCUACUUAUAAUUACGGAAAAUCAUAAGAACUGAUGGUAUCAAGGAGGACUUAAAAGUAAAUUAGAUUAUAUAAAUAAUUUGAAUAGGGCUCUGAAAUGUGCACACAUCGCCCGUCGCUCU
rnacentral:rRNA from 1 species